rnacentral:rRNA from 1 species
UCGCCUGUUUAUCAAAAACAUCUUAAACAAGAUUUAUAGUACCUGCUCACUGACAGAUAGUUUAAUAGCCCCAUUGUGCUAAGGUAGCGUAGUAAUUAGUUUUUUAAUUGAGAAAUAGUAUGAAUGGUAUCACUAAAGCAAAUUUGUUUCAUAUAUUAUUAUAAAAUUAAGCUAUAGGUGAAAACUCCUAUAUUAAUCUUUUAGACGAGAAGACCCUAUGAAGCUAUAAAAAAUAAAUAGGUUUAAAAUUUUAAUUAAUUUUGUUGUUUGGGGUAAAAAUUAAUUUUUUUAUUAAAAUAAUUAGUGUUUAUCAACUUCGCCUUUAGGAAUACUGAAUAAGCUCCUC